CCCAUUCUGGCUGUCCCCUUUUCCAAACUUUCUGGACGCAGCCCUGCCUGGAUGUAAGUUUGGGUUCCAAAAGACUUCCAUUUGUCUCUAAAACGGAGGUUUAGUAUUUUUAAAGCAAGAGGAGAGAGAGAGAGGGAGGAAGAGAGAGAGAGAGGGAGAAAACGAGAGAGAAAGAGAGAGAGAAAACAAGACAAUUAAAAAGAUUGACAGGUAGGCUCCUCUGUCAGGGGUGACGCUUGCGGAGAGGGGAGGAGUAAAAACUGUAGCAGGAAAAGCCACUCGAUGCGUCUGUCUAUCAGUUGAGACUGUCUGAAACAGCUUCCAGAUCCACCGCGUUUCCCCCAUUUUUUCCCACCUCCUCUCCUUUCGGGAGAGCGACCUCGGAUCAGUCCCCUGGAGUUUCUUUCUUCUUCUUCUUCUUCUUCUCCUUCUUCUCCUUCUUCUUCUUUCUAAAAGACGCAGACGUUUUUUCGCUCCUGUCGAUGUGAUCUGAUCAGAUCUGAUCUGAUCCGAGUGUUUUCUUUUUUAUAUAUAUUUUGGGGGUGGGGGGGCGAAGCUCGGAUGCGCCUCUUCACCGCAUGAAGCUGAGAUCCUUAAAAUAAAGAAAAACCACACCGACUCUGUCCGAGAUGAGGCGUGGAAAUUAUUCGCACCACUCUUAAAACCGUGUCUGGGUAAAGAAAAGAAGGAAACGGGAGCAGGAGUGGAGACUGCUCCCUCACAUCGGACCUUAUUUGUUUGGUGAAAUCACCCUUUUAUAUCUAAAUAUAUGUAGUUUGGCGUGCGUAAAAAGGCGCAGCAAACUAUCUCUCCCCCCCACCCCAUCAACCGGGACUAGAGAUUAUUAUAGGGGGAUUUAUUUUUUCCACACACAAAAAAAGGAGUGAACUGAAAACUUAAUUUUUUUAUGCUUUAUUUUUCUUUAUUAUUAUUAACACUGUAAUUGUCUGAUUUUUUUUUUUAUUUUAUUUUUUAUUUUUAUUGCCGGCCAAUGAGAGAAAUGAAGGAAGAUGAUAUUUGAUGGACACGGAGGUUUCGGGAGCUGGCCGAACCCUCAGUUUCGCUGAAGCCGACCCCCAGCCAUCAUCCACAUCCAGCAGAGAAACGAGAAGCCUGGUGCUUUUUUUUCUUUUUUUUUCUUGAGCCUCAGAAAAGGGAUGAUUCCUCAAAUCUGAUCAGACUUUGACUCGUCCUUUUUUUUUUUAAUACAUAAAUUAAAUAAAUAUUCCUGCAUGAGAAGCUCCGUGGAAGGUGACGGUCACUAUGCCGAGGAGAAAGCAGCAAGAGCCGCGGCGAUCAGCAGGUACAGCCCGCUCCUUCCCUUCUAAACCUUUCUUCUUUCUGAAACAAGUCACAUUUCAUUUUUGUUUCCACGUUUUAGUAGGUUAUUAGUUGUUGUUUAAAAAAAAAAAAAAAAAGAAACACAUUUCUAAUCCGUCCGUCUUGUCACCCGUGACUCACAUUAGUUUGGAUAAAGUGACCCAAACUGCGCAAAAGACGCACGGAUCCGGCCACUUUUUCAACCCCCCCUGGAAACUUUUAAGAAUAGUGAGAUAAACUAAAUGGUAUGUUGUUGUGAGGAUAAAAGCGGGGAGGGGAGUUUAGAGGUUUUGAGAGUGAGUGAGUAAUGAUGAAUAAUUGACACAGAGAGUCGGUUUUUCCCCUCUCUCUGUCUCUCUCUCUCUUUUUUUCGGUUUUAUUAGAAGAUUGCCAUCCUUGAUUUGAUGCGUGAUUGAUCGCCUGUCAUGUGGCACUCUUUGAUCUGUUCAUCCCCGAUAAACAUCAGUAAAUCCCCUCCAUGAAGGCUACAGCGUUGGCCGAUCAGACACACGUGAAGACCGUCUGUUUUAUUAUUAUUAUUAUUACUAUUAUUGCAUGUAUUUUUUUUUAUUUAGGCCAAAACAAUAUUAUAAAGUUGGGAAUUUAGUAUAAAAAACAGGGCUAGAAGCAUCCGCUUGUUUAUUUUGAUGUGCAUGUGAAAGUGUAGGACUAAUAACUAAACCACAGAGUGAAAUCAUUUUGCUACAGUCACUCUGUUUAUGUGAAUAUUUGUAAUUUCGGCGACAAAAACAAAAAAAAAUAUUAAAAUAGAAAAACAGUAGAAAACCCACAAUUUGGAAAGAGUCAGUAUAAAUCAGUGCAAAAUGAGGUGCACCCAUCUGAUCUCAGUAAACACAGCAUUAGAUGAAUCUGAAGUUGGCACGUGUGUGUACAAAAAUAAAAAAAUUAUAUUGGCGUCUGUUGUGAUGGUGGUUCUGCACUUUGAUGGCCACAGGUAGGAAAGAUCUCCUGUGGCGUUGUGUUGGUGCUUCUAAGUGGAACCAGUCUUUCUCUCCUGUGAUUGGCCAGCACAUUGUACAGUAGGGUGUAUGCACUUUUUUUUUUUUUUUUUUUUUUUCUUUCCAGACACAAAUAAGAAAUUUCUCUUCCGGAUUUAUCCCACGCUCCCAGCUGGAGCAGAUAUACCCGUAUGCUGUGAUGUUUAGCAAAGUGACCAGCUGAUAGAAGCAGUUAUUGGGAAAAAGGACCCCACAAGGUUGACAUGUACUAGUUUGGAUUUGGAUCUGAAUCCCCCCCUACCACCACCAACCAUCACCCUCCCACCCCCCUCUGCAGCCUUUAAACAAAUGUAAAUGAGUGACAGGGGCUUUUCUACCUCUGUGCUAAUGAGGCUGAGCCUUUGAAGUUAGGCAUUAACAACUGCAGCGAACAAAAGACAGUUACAGAAUUUUAAAGAGAUUUUUUUUUUUUUUUUUUUUUAAUAUGAGGUGCAGAGCAGGUCGAACGGGAGGCCCGGCCGCGGAGGACUUUGAACUCAGCGGGUUUUAUCAUUGUGAUGAUGUUGAGGAGGAGGAGGAGAGGGACUGUGAGAUGGAGACGAUUCUCCGACUGAACAGUCUUCCUGGAAUCGCUGGGCCACACUGGGAAGCCGGGGGAUUCGGAUUUCCACUUCCAGGGCUCGCUGUGCUUUUCCGCGCGUGGUUUUCGAGCGUUAUGAAGAGGGAAGCAUGCGUGACGCGACACCGCCGUGACCUCCCCGCCCCCUUCUUUUCCUCACAUCGAAAACGCACACAUAAACGCCACCCAUCCAGCUAAGCGUCCGCCGGGAGCCGCAAACAUCACGGCUCGUGACGGUCGAUCAAACGGAGGGUCUUCCUCCGUUCUCCCAGGAAAACGAAAGUCCAGAUAGGACUUCCACUUGUACUUCACACACUCACACACACACACACACACACUCACACUCACACUCACACACUGUAGUCUGGCCUAAUGCUCUACUGGGAGCUGCCACUGACCUGUAGCUUCCUCCUUGUGUGCCACAUCUCAAACUGCUAUCGGUGGCGAAAAUCAGACGUCACAUGACUUUAAAAAAAGAAACAAACAAAAAAAGAGUUUCGGGGCAGAUUACUAUUAAUUCCACACCCACAUAAAUCAUAUUAUGUUGGUAUUUACAUACAGAAAAGAUUUUAUAACGUUUUACUGUCAAGUUGCUCAAACUUUUAUGAGUAGAUACAUUUACUACACUAUAUUUUUUGCGUUUUCUCUGCAACUCAAAUAUAAUUUCUUGCUACAUAUCAAAUAAGAAAUUUGCAUCACUUUUUUUUUUUGAAGAAAUCUAUAUUUUUUUUACAAAACUUUUCAAAAUAUUCAGGGUCUCUGUCUCAACGCUUUGGAGUUAAAGGGAGGCGAAACAAACGAACAUGUGGGCCCUUUCGUUUUCGCCGGGGCAGAGCCGGAUCCUGUCGCAGGGUUUUUACCGAACGCGUUCCGUUACUUCCGUGACCCUCCGAUCCCGGAAGUGUCGUCCUCCUGCUCAGCGUGACACCUUGCGGCCGUCCUUCCCUCCCUCCCCUUCCUUCUUCUCUCCUUCUCUGGCGAACCACUUUGUUUUCGAGGCGGCGAAGACGAGGGACGAGCGGAGGACGGGAAAAGGAGUGGCUCUGCCUUUCAUCCGAGGCGGUUCUCGGAUCGGCUCAGAUCAGAUAGUCACUGCUUCGUCUUUUGAAACACGCUGGUUAAUUAUAAGACAGAGAAGUGUGUGUGUGUGUGUGUGUGUGUGUGUGUGUGUUCAGCUUGGAAAGGGUGGAUAAGGGGUGCUUGUGGUGCCGCUGAGACGGAGGGAAGUAGGGGGAUCUGUGUGUGUGUGUGUGGGGGGGGCGUGGGUGUUGGUGGAUGUAAGGUUGCUUCCUGUUGGCUUCAUUAGAGAGAGCCCUAAUUAUCUGCGGAGCUGAUGGAUUUGUGACAGGUCCUAACGAUUAAUGCUGACAAAUUCAGUAAGGUGUCAAGUCCGCAGCUGCCUUGAUGUAAUCAAGUUGAUAUUAUACAGUCCCCGUAGCCCCUAGUGCAGCACCGACUCAAUUUACCAGUGCAGGUGACAAAUGGACUUUGCUACCUGACUAAUCACGUCAGGAGACAAUGCCAAUUAAUGACCUCGGCGUGCCCCCCCACCCGUCUUUUACUCCCACCGUCCUCAUAAGGUCGUAAUAAGAGAACCCGGACCUGCUCCGACAUGUCCCAGCCCUUUUUUCUGUUUGCACGUUAGAUACAAUUUUGCUUUUCUUCUUUCUUUAAACGCCGUGACCAUUUCCACAAAAAAAAAAUCCCCGCUCGAAAUGUUCCUCUAAGUCGCCAUCGUGGACGUUUUCCAUAUUUAUUGAUAUUAUUGUUAUUUGUCAAUGACACGGUUCAGGCCUCUUGGUGUAUCAACUCGCCGAAGCGGUCCUGAGAGUCGUGUUUUAUGUUUUUUUUUCUUAACGUUCUAGACAUCCUGUGGGGGAGCUUUUUACGUUUUUCACAUGUGUUGCUUGUAAAUCAAAACAGUUUCCAUGUACUUCAGCUGAACACACACACACACACACACACACACACACACACAUGAGCUCCCUCUCUCCAGCCAGCUCACUGAAGGCCUCCGGUUUAUUCCGACCCGGAGAAUCGCAGUGCCCAGGGAUUAAUGAUUUUGCAUGUUCGGGGCGGAUCAGAUUACACGGUGACCUUUGUGCUCCCGGUUGAUGACGCUGUUAUGUGAUAGUCCUCCCCUCAAAAUAAUCAGCAGGUAGAGAUUUAUGCCCACCCACCCUACACACACACACACACCACCUUUCUGAUUUAAUCGCUCUAAAUAUCUGUUUUUGUUUAGUUUUUUUUUUAUUUGACCAACUACUUCCUGCAAAAAUCUGAAAAGGAAUCUGGAGGGACUUACAAUUUCAAAGGCUUCACAGUGUCUGAGUCAACUGUUGGUGUUUGAGCUUUGCCAAAAAAAAGAAAAGAGAGGAAAAGUGUGUGUGUGUGUGUGUGUGUGCGUGUGUGUGUGUGUGUGUGUGUGUGAAAGAAGCAGAAACAGCCGGGACCAUGAGUGUGUGUGCCUCAGUGCUGACCGGUGUCAGUUUUCCUGGAAUGAAUAACUCAAACGAGCGCAGCGGCGACCACGCCAACUUAGUCAUCCUCUUUAGCACGGCCAGCCUUCGCUUCUCAUCCCCACCCUCCCCCCUCCUGCCUCCAACCACCGCCGCCGUUGCCUCGUUGGACCAGGAAAAAGAGCUGGAACGGUCAGGGUUUUCUCUCGUCUAGCAUAUUUUUAGCCAUUUCCAAUCAAAAGCCUUGAAAAAACUGGGACCACCUAUUGAUCCCCCCGCUGCCUGUCCGGUUUGUUCGCUUCCGGUGUGUUCCACACACCCUCUGAGUUCGUGAGUGAGUGUGUGUGUGUGUGUGUGUGUGUUUGGCACAGCGAGAGCUUGCGGCGCUGUACUUAGCAGGUGGGCUUCAGCUGACCUGGUCAAUAGCUUUUUUUUUUUUUUUUUGUUUGCUCCUGCACCGGCCUCUGAAAACGAUAGUUUAAAUUUACAUCUGGGAUUCUGGGGGUCAGAGGUCAAACAUGCUCAGCUUGCUCCUUUUUAAUGCCUCAAGUAACCACAUGUGCCUUUGCAAGCCAUGGACUAGAAUGAGAUCAUGGCUGUGUGUCAACCUUGAGUAAAAAUAUCACAGUAUCACAGCUCUUACACAGAGAUUUUAUUUGAAGCAAAUUGUUUUUACACCUGCAUAAAUAAUAUAACAUAGUGCUUAUUAAAGUCCUAAUAUAAUACACUCAUUGUUACCUUGAUGUUUAAAGACCACAAGCCUGCAUUCCGCUGCUUUACAGAUAUGUAGCUCGCGUCUUGUCGGAUGUUAGCAUAAGUGACAAGCGACGGAUUCUUUUCCACCAAAUAUGGUUCCGUUGUCGCCUCCUUUCGACCAGCUGACCAUGGGGAAUGGGCGUCACCCUGCCGGUUACUGCUCCUCCAGUUCGAGGAAAACCCCACGCUGACACCUCGUUAGCAGGAUUUUGAACUUUAAGAAUGGCGUAAUGGAAAAAUCGAAGCUAACUUUCUAGAACCUCGCUUUUAGUUGAUAACAGGCGUACGCCACUUCAGUUAACGUUUGUCAGAGCUCUUCUUGUUAGCAAACCACUAAAUUAAGGCUGUUGCAUGCAGCGCUAUUACUAGCGAAGGAAUCAUUUUCAAGAACACUGCCUUGGUGAACGGUGAUCAGCUUUCAGAUCUGUCUCAAAGGCUGCAUUUAUAGCAAAUGUGUGGCCUUUAUUGCCACAAAGAUCACCCUGUUUAUGUGUAAUUAUACUUAAAUGAUGCAUUGUUCUUUAGUCCUUCCAAUCCCAAUUGUUGCAGAUAAAAUGUCAUAUAACGUGUGACAUUUUAUCACACUUUUCUGUGAGGCAGCUGAUCCUGUAGAUUCAAAAAAAAAAAAAAAAGGGGGGGGGGGGAGUCAACGAUGCAGUUUUGUUGCUAUCUUCACCCGUCCCAAGCUUUUAAACCUCAGAGCACUUUUCAAUUCAUCAUCCAAAAAUGGGGGAUGACACAACUGGAAACCUACAGAGACGGGCAGAAAACUCUUGCGCUUCCUCCUCGAAGGAUGGCACGUUGAAAAAUGUUUGUGAUUUUUCACAAAUUUUAUUUUGUCGGUAAUCGGCCCGUGCUUAACUCUAAGGCUUGCUUUGGUAUUCUAACCUAAAGUCAGCAUAGAUAAAUAAUCAAACGGGAAAAACAGCUAAUCUUGAGGUUUCUCCAUUCACGUUAGUUUUCACUGUUACAUCUUAACGCCAGAUUUUGUCUUUUUCUUUUUUUAUAUUUCUUUACAAUUCUUUUUCGGGGUGUUCUGACUAAAAUCCUUUCCCCCGGCGGGGUGGGGCACGCUCCCGCCACCACUCGCAGUCUGUUGCCCCUCGCCGCACUUUAAAACACACAUGCGCACUGUGAACCAUAAACACCGUCAGACACUCGCACAUUCACAGACACACACCUAUACCUAAUGCUUAAGUGCAGCCAGCAUGUCUCUGUGGGAGGUCAUAAUGGAGGUGGCUUAGUAUGAUGGGAAAUCAUAUCAUUAAAGCAGCCAGAUGUGCUUUGUUGCCUGCCUUGCAGCACAUAAAAACAGCAGCAAGUCAUGGGAUCUGAAAAGGAAAAAAAAA